UUUUCCCAAAUUCGACACACAAUACACGAGCAAGAAUAAAAUCUCUUUCAAAAGAAAAGCUAAGCUAAAGAUUGCAAUUUUCUCCUUCAAAAAUUCUGAAAAUGGCGACCAUCCCAUCUGCCGCAAUCAAUCUUGCACUAUCUACAAGAUUUAAACCAUUCAUGGGCACUUCUCUUCUGGGUUCUUCCAGUUCAGUAUUCUUCAAUAACAAUAUCAGUGGCUGUGCCAAUCUGAGCCUGGUUCUUGGUGGGUCGAGAAGAAUGAGCAGGAACCAGAAAAAGGGGAUGUCGUGUAACUGCUUGUUCGGGCUUGGGGUGCCGGAGCUGGUGGUCAUUGCUGGAGUGGCUGCCCUUGUUUUCGGGCCCAAGCAGAUUCCGGAAGUCGGCCGCAGUAUUGGCAAGACUGUCAAGAGCUUCCAACAGGAAGUGCUUUCAGUAUAGAUUCAGGAUAUGAAGGGUGGGCCUGCAAGUGCAAACAUCUUCAUGCUUUCAGUCCGAACUCCAAAAUCACCUUCUCGGCCUAGUAUAAACAUUUGAAGAACUUUCAACAACGCUUAUUUUGAUUCUAAAACCAUUUUGGACAUUGAUGUCUUAAAGCUGUUUAGGCUGAAAUAACUUGCUAGCGUGAUUCACUCUUCAUCUCAGGCUGCAAAAGAAUUUGAAACAGAACUGAAAAAGGAUACUGAUUCUCCAUUGGAGUCGCCUGAAUAUAUUACAAGAGUGAGAGAAGAAGAGAAGCAAGAGGCCGAAGUCUCGAG